GCCUCUGUGGUGUAGUGGUCAGCACGCUGGACGCGUAACCGAGCGAUCCGUGGUUUGAUUCCCGGCGAAGGCG
rfam:Stegodyphus mimosarum contig54189, whole genome shotgun sequence.